CCUCAACCUCAUGGUUCCUAGUCAGAUUCGUUUCCACUGCGCCACGACGGGAAUUGCAGUCCACAUGUAAAGCAGGCUUCUCCCGGGUUUUGUCUUCUAGAAGCUGAUCCCACCUCAUACCCAGAGGGAGUCCCUCUGCUUCAACGGUAGUUGGGGGUGGGGUGACAGGAGUGCGGACAGGCGGGCAGAGGGAAGGAGUCGCUCAGUAGGACUGAGGGGGAGGUUGCUGGUGAUUGGACCCACAACCAGAGCGGGGUGGCGGGACGGGGGUCGGUGAACUUUCGGGUCUAGGAGCAGGGGUAGAGAGGGGGAAGCCCGGAAGCAGCCUUCAGGAAUCCGCUGCCAUCCGCAGCCAGAGGCUGUCUGCGUGACCCUCGCCUGGGUCCAGCGAGAAGCGGUUGGGAGGGCCAGGCCGAGGACCUUCGUCCUGAGGAGCCUGUAUACAUAUUGGAAGCAGGUGCUACAAAUGUUUUAUUGAUUAGAGGGAUGUGACCAAAACGCUGCAGGCUACCAAUUUGGACUGAACCUGACAUGUCCACAUGUCCAUCUGACUCAUGAAGAAGAGACGUGGAUGGGGACCCAGCCCGGAUUCUGCACUUCAAGAUGGGCCAUACCCAUGGCAUAUGAAAACUUACAGACUAGGGGUUCAAUGGGAG